rnacentral:rRNA from 1 species
AAGCAUCCUGUUAGUCAGGCAACGAGCGAGUACCCACGCCCACAGUUGCCAGCGUACUCUCUGGAGUGACGGGUACACUGUGGGACCGCCGCUGCUAAGCGGAGGAAGGAAUGGGCAACGGUAGGUCAGUAUGCCCCGAAUAUCCCGGGCUACACGCGAGCUACAAUGGUUGGUACAAUGGGUAUCUACCCGAAAGGGGACGGGAAUCUCCUAAAACCAAUCUUAGUUCGGAUUGAGGGCUGCAACUCGCCCUCAUGAAGCUGGAAUCCGUAGUAAUCGCGUUUCAACAGAACGCGGUGAAUACGUCCCUGCUCCUU